UCGUGCGUCUUGCAUCUGUUUAUUGAAGAGUAAGGAUCUUAGCUGUAACGUGACAAUUCCCAGGGCUCCAAUAGGCUCUCAGAACCCGGGAAAAACCUGAACGAUGACGAGGCAGCCUCUGGCUGAAACAGAUUAUCGCCUUAUCCAAGUGGCCGAUCAGAGGACCAUUGAAUGAGGCGCGUGCACGAUUCGCCCCCGUGGAGAAAUUUCAUUCGGCUGUUUAGCUUAUUGCAGAUUCCCGGUCGGAAUAUUAUCGCUUUUCUACGAGAUAAAUGGCAUAAAAAUUGGUUUUAAACAGCGGUUGACAUGCUUCGAAGUACGGUAAUGGAAUAUUUAGACAUUUUUUGUCACGCCAUGCUCCAUGCGUGCGACCGUUAUUUACCAUUCGUAUAGUGUCUAGAACGCACGAACAAAACAGAGGAUAUUUGGACAUAACGAUGGAUUAUUUGGGACCAAACCUACAUUUGUUAUUGAAGUAGAAGUCCUGGGAGUGCAUUCUGACGAAGAACAGGAAAGGAAUGGACUACAUCAAGGAUCUCCUGGAAGAACCCUUGCUGCAGCUAGGUGAUGGCACCAGUUUAUCAGAUGAGGAGGACUUCUUCUCUGCCAUGAAAACGUCUCAAGCACAAGAAAGCUCCAAACAGCUGGACGGAUACCUGGCCGGUUCUGUCACGAUUCCCACCGACGGUGGCGCCCCCUCCUGCUCGGGUGGUGCUCGGCGGUCGUCGUCACCGGCCUAUUAGCUGCCACUGAUUCCCUUUUUUGUUUUCCCCCUGUUUGUGAUUGUGUGCACCUGUUCUUAGUGGGGGUGAUUAGCGGGGCUAUUAGUAUUAGCUGGUCCGCUUUCUCAUUGUGCGGGAUUAUUUCCUGUUGCGCUUGUGUUUACGCUUGUGCGUUUGUUUUGCGCCGCAUGUUAUUUCCCCUGUGUUUGGGACACUUUAUUUUGUGUGCGCGUUAUGCGUUGUUUGGGGUGGCUUGUGUGUGCUCGCCUGUUUGACCCUGUUUGACUGGAAGCUUCUGGAAUUCGAACUUCUGUUAUUCGAACUCAAUCAGCAUGACAGAGUGAUCUCCAGCCUUGUCCUCGUCAACACUCACACCUGUGUUAACGAGAGAAUCACUGACAUCAUGUCAGCUGGUCCUUUUGUGGCAGGGCUGAAAUGCAUUGGAAAUGUUUUUUGGGAUUCAGUUCAUUUGCAUGGCAAAGAGGGACUUUGCAAUCAAUUGCAAUUCAUCUGAUCACUCUUCAUAACAUUCUGGAGUAUAUGCAAAUUGCCAUCAUACAAACUGAGGCAGCAGACUUUGUGAAAAUUAAUAUUUGUGUCAUUCUGAAAACUUUUGGCCACGACUGUACACCUGAUGAAAUGUUAACAAGGCGACCAAUGAACACACCAGGGGUGAGAUCUAUGACUGACUGACAGAUAGACAUAACUGAGGCACAGUGUGAUCACAUUGAAGACAUGAAAGAACUAACUUCUAUUGUCAGUUUUCUCCACUCUCACUAGGAAAGCAGCAGAACCAAUCCCAGGUGAGGAUCCAGAUGCUCUGACCAUCUGCGUAGGAGACUGGGUGAAACUGCGAGUCCAUAAAAGAAAAUGGAACCAGCCAAGAUGGACAGGUCCGUUCCAGGUAACCAUGGUAACUCCAACGGCGCUGCGGGUAGCAGAGAGGUCCGGCUGGCAUCAUCUCUCCUACUGCAAGCAUCUCCCAGAUUGGAAGCCAUGGAUGAGUGACUGGAGGGAGGGAGAGCAGGGCUCCGAGAACAUCUGACAGAAGCAGAGGGCCCAGACCAAAUGGCCAGAAAGAAAGAUGAAAAAGAAGGCUCCAGCCAACAAGCAGAAGAAGGAGACAUCAUUUCACACUCACACUCAGGUUCUAUAACUAGGAAACAGAGACUACACCGGGUCUGGUGGUUUGUUUUCCCCAUCAUCCUUUCCAUGGGUCUCCUUGUGGGUGCAGCCACAGGACCCCCUAGGGGAUCUGAGGAAAACAACAAAUGGAUACAAAUGGUGAGAAAAAAAAUUGGAAAUCAGACUAAGAGGCCAGGGACCCAGAUUUUUGUAUUUUGAAAGCCUACAUCAACCACUGAGUUGUUCGGGAGUCAGGUUGUGUCACGUCCUGACCAGUAAAGGGGUCAUUUGUCAUUGUAGUUGGUCAGGGCGAUGCAGGGGGUGUUGUUUUUGUGUGUUUUGGGGUUGGUUUGUUUGUUUUGAGGGGAUUUGUUCUAGUUUUCAUUUUCUAUGUUCAGUUUCUAUGUGUGGCCGAGUAUGGUUUCCAAUCAGAGGCAGGUGUCUUUCGUUGUCUCUGAUUGGAAGCCAUACUUAGGCAGCCCUUUUUUCCUUUGGGUUUGUGGGUGGUUGUUUUCUGUAUGGCCUGUGUGCUUUAUGGAACUGUUUCGUCGUCUGUUUAUUUUGGUUUGAGUGUUCUUCCUAAAUAAAGUAAGAAGAUGAGCACUGUA
rnacentral:lncRNA from 1 species